rnacentral:rRNA from 1 species
ACGCUCGACACCUACGGGAGGCAGCAGUGGGGAAUAUUGCACAAUGGGGGAAACCCUGAUGCAGCGACGCCGCGUGAGCGAAGAAGUAUUUCGGUAUGUAAAGCUCUAUCAGCAGGGAAGAAAGUGACGGUACCUGACUAAGAAGCCCCGGCUAACUACGUGCCUGCAGCCGCGGUAAUCUGAGCGGGCUGGCAAGC